UACGGAGGGAGCUAGCGUUGUUCGGAAAUACUGGGCGUAAAGCGCACGUAGGCGGCGCAGCAAGUCAGGGGUGAAAUCCCGGGGCUCAACCCCGGAACUGCCCUUGAAACUGCAGUGCUAGAAUCUUGGAGAGGCGAGUGGAAUUCCGAGUGUAGAGGUGAAAUUCGUAGAGAUCGGGAGGAACACCAGAGGCGAAAGCGGCGACCUGGACAAGUACUGACACUCAACUACGAAAGCGUGGGGAGCAAACAGG
rnacentral:rRNA from 1 species